rnacentral:rRNA from 1 species
GACAGAGGCCCCAAGCGUUAGUCGGAAUUACUGGGCUUAAAGGGUGCGUAGGCGGGCGUGUAAGUGUCCUGUGAAAUCCCCGGGCUCAACCCGGGAACCGCUGGGCAUACUGCACGUCUCGAGGAAGCUAGAGGCCGGUGGAACGAUCGGUGGAGCGGUGGAAUGCGUAGAGAUCCGGCGGAACACCGGUGGUGAAGGCGGUCUCCUGGGCCGAGGGCCGACGCUGAGGCGCGAGAGCGUGGGGAGCGAACCGG